ACGCCAGUUUACACCAUCUUUUAUUUAGUGUUGUAGUUUAGCCGCCAUCCAGCAGAGGUCCCCGCUGGUCAUCUUCAAGCGGAACCAGCGAAAUAGAAACAAAGAUGGCGGCGGGCCAUACCAAAGGAAACGGUUCAAACGGAGUCCGUAGUGGGAUUAAAAUGCACUUUAUGCGGUUAUGUGUUGAAAUAUAAACACUCGACAAGUUCCUAAAGUUUGACAUGACGGAAAAAUCAUGGCGCCAAUAAGCACGGUUGAUUUUGAUGGCUGUGAAGCGGAUCAGAGAAGUCUGGCAGAGGCCCAAUGAAGAGUCCAGCCAGUGACAAUCCCAGCAGCAGGACGGCACAAACCAGCAGCACCAGUAACGCAGGUAUUGCUG